rnacentral:rRNA from 1 species
UGGGGAAUUUUGGACAAUGGGCGAAAGCCUGAUCCAGCAAUGCCGCGUGUGUGAAGAAGGCCUUCGGGUUGUAAAGCACUUUUGUCCGGAAAGAAAUCCUUGGCUCUAAUACAGUCGGGGGAUGACGGUACCGGAAGAAUAAGCACCGGCUAACUACGUGCCAGCAGCCGCGGUAAUACGUAGGGUGCAAGCGUUAAUCGGAAUUACUGGGCGUAAAGCGUGCGCAGGCGGUUGCUAAGACCGAUGUGAAAUCCCCGGGCUCAACCUGGGAACUGCAUUGGUGACUGGCAGGCUAGAGUAUGGCAGAGGGGGGUAGAAUUCCACGUGUAGCAGUGAAAUGCGUAGAGAUGUGGAGGAAUACCGAUGGCGAAGGCAGCCCCCUGGGCCAAUACUGACGCUCAUGCACGAAAGCGUGGGGAGCAAACAGGAUUAGAUACCCUGGUAGUCCACGCCCUAAACGAUGUCAACUAGUUGUUGGGGAUUCAUUUCCUUAGUAACGUAGCUAACGCGUGAAGUUGACCGCCUGGGGAGUACGGUCGCAAGAUU